rnacentral:lncRNA from 1 species
UGAAAUCCUCUCGUUGCUGAAUGUUGGAAUGCUGAUGUUCAAAGUCUGAGGUCAUGGAGGACAGACAGGAUGUGUGUGGGUUGCAUGUGCCCCGGGUGGCCUUGGGUUGAGUGUGGGCCUCGGUCCACCCGGACAGAUGCUGGCUAUCUAUGAAGAUGAAGGACAAGGGACACAGCUGGGAACUGGACUUCUCUGGGAGGGAACAGUAUAUGGACUGGGCUUGCUCCAUGCAGAAAAGAGGAUGGCAAAGCAGGAAAAGAAGCUGAGAGGGAAACAAAACCAAAAACAGAGAACUGAGUCAAAAUACUUCAAGGGGAAACUUCAGGUGUCAGGAGUGAAGAUGGAAUCCACAGCCAAAACCACCUACAGGAGCUGGAGUCAGGAUGCCCCCAGGGAACACCCACCGACCAUGCCUCCAUGGCUGGGGCUCCCAUGUGUGUGUGCGGCUGGGAUCAAGACCUCUGACCCUGUGCACUGCAGGGCACCGUGAUGGGGCUGCUGGGAAAGGCCAAAGCUGGAAGUUGUCUCCCAGCUCAGGCAGAGCAGGGAGUGAGCUUCCCUGGAGUCCAGGCCCCUGAGAGAAAGGAGGGCUGUGCCCAUCAACUGGAAACUGGAUAAAGAAGAUACGGUUUUUUAUAAAAUGGAGUACUACUCAGCCAUAAAGAACGAGAAACUAGAGACAUUUAUCGCUAAAUGGAUGCAUAUUGAAGACAUACUCUAAAGAGAAAUAAAUAGGACACACGUGUAAAUACUGAAUAGUUUCUCUGAUGUGAGAAACUGAAAGUGUAAAUAAGGAUUAAAAUGAAUAACUGAUAAUGUGAAAUAGUAAGAAAAGGUCCAAAGGGGUAGGGGAAAGGAAAGAAGGGUAAGGAAAAAUUAUGAGAAAAGGAAAAAAUGGAAACAAAGUCUUUGUAAAUAGGGAAGGAUGAAAGGGGUGAAGGGAAGACAGGAAAUGGGGAAAAAUAAGAACCAAGAUAUAUUAUGUAAAGGUACAAGUAUCCAAUGAUAAAUGUAAAUGCACUGUAUACCUAAAAUGUACCAAUAAAAGAAUCGAAGGGAAAAAUGUAGACCCAGUUAUCAUUAGAGAGUUUAAGUCUGUGAUGAUUAAGUCUAUGACAAUUUUGUGUCAACUUGAUUGGGUCCUGAGUUGCCCAGAUACUUGCUAAACAUUGUUUCUAUGUGUGCCUAUAUUUCUUACAAAAUUAUCAUUUAAAUUGUUAGACUGAGCAAAAAUUUCCCUUCUCAAUGUAUGUGAGUUCUAUCCAUUUCACGGAAGGCCUGAACAGAAUAAAAGACUGAGUAAGAAAUUAUGCUGUCUCUCUGCCUAAUUGGAGACAUCUGUCUUCUCAGACAAUUUCUUAUAAUAAACAUACAAACAAACAUCCAACCACAAACACAUCAUAUUGGUGCAUAAUAUGAAGU